rnacentral:lncRNA from 10 species
ACGCCACGCAGAGGUGAAGAUACGCAGGACGUCCUCUAAAGCAACUUCCGUGGGUGCCAGGUUGUGGGCUGGGGGCGGUGCUGACCUUGAGAGAGCGGAGGAGGCGCAGGCGCAGCACAGGUACGUGGGCGGGCGGAUCGUGGUGGCUGCGCUUGCGAGGACCCUGAGGUAGAUUGGGUGGUUUCAACAGGAACGCAUCCACUGUCUGAGAGGUGGCAAUUGAAGCCGGAAGAACAUCUACCAAGAGCAGAGAACCCAGGAAGAAAAUUCUGCCUCUUUAAUACGUUCCAAUAUGGACGUUUUCCAUAUAGAUACCUAUCUAUAUAGAUAGAUGCUCUGGGAUCUGACGGUCCUGGACACCUGUAUGGCUGUGUGCUGUGGUCUUUGCCUAGCCUGCGGUUCACUUUUGCUCUGGCCACCACCUCCCCUCAUGUACAAACCGCGUCUCUGCUCUGCCAGUCUUGGCCCCCGUCAGGCAGCGGUUCACUCCCUCACCAGGGAAGUCUAGAUAGAUAGAUAUAGAUAGAUAUCGAUCGAUAGAUAUAGAUAUAUAUAUAGAUAGAUAGAUAGGUAGAUAUAUGGAUAGAUAUAGAUAUUUGGAUAGAUAUGUAGACGUCUAUCUAUAAAUAUAUCGAUAUAUCGGGGUUCUCAGCCAUCCCAAAGAAGCUUGCACAGGGCCAGUUGCUUUAUGUCAGGAAAAGGGACACAGACUGAGUGUAUGAGGGUUUUUUUUUUCUAUAGAUGUAUAGAUAUUUAUAUCAGAUGCAAAUAAGUGAAACUCUCAUACAACUUUUAAUUUUGUGUUUUUUCCAAACUCUAUUCCAUUCAACUUUUUCUGCCUUUUUAUUUGAUUAUAAUGAGACAUCGUACUGGAGGCAGGCUUGAAAUGGAUAUACAGAGCACUUUCAACCCAGAAAUUUGUCUCACGACUUGGGGUCCUUACUUAAGUUGUAGCUGUUAGUAAUUUCAUCCAUGAAUUCACUUUGUGCCAUAGUGUGAUGUUUUGUUAUGAAGUUGGAAUUGGGAAGGGAAACUAGGAAGUUUUGGGAGAAGUUAAGAAGGUUGAGUAGGCAGGCGUUGUUAUAGAUAUUAAAUUUCACCCUGCUUAUCAAAGUACCUGGAGCGUAUGGUAUCCAAGCUGUAAAUGGCCCAAAGGAAUCGGGGUUCUCAGCCAUCCAAAAGAAGCAUGCACAGGGCCAGUUAUUUUAUGUCAGGAAAGGGGACACAGACUGAGUGUAUGAGGGUUUUUUUUUUUGUUUUUUUUUUUUAGUUUAAACUUGAUUUUGUGAGGGGACGAACAGCGUGACAAUUAAAAGAAGAUCUGGGAAUCAAAAGCUUCCUGAGGCCUUCACCAGAAGCAGAUGCUGGUGCCGUGCUUCUACAGCCUGCAGAACUGGAAUGUGUUCCAAGACCCCCAGUGGAUGCCUGAAACUGAGAAUAGUACUGGACCCUGUAUAUACUGUGUUUUUUCUUUCCUUAUUGAGAACUUUUAUGUUUUCACUUAAAGGAAGGACUUUACAGCUUCUCUUUCGCAUAUCCAAAUUGCCAGCAUCACCGCUCUUGCACUCCAAGCCAUUAUUAAGUAAAGUAAAGAACACAAACACUGUGAUACUGCUACACUUGAUCUGAUAACCAAGAAGUCUACUAAGUGACUAACAGCAGAGCAACUGGGAACCUAAUUCUGACCAAAAAGGAGGAAUUGUUUGGCUAAUUGGAAGUGACAGAAACCUUGGGAGAAAGCAACCGCAUACCAAGGAUAAUUAUAAGAAGAAGAGAAGACAUGGAGAAGAGGAGGGAGUAGUUGUGACCGUGGAGGCAGAGAAUGGAGUAAUGUGAUCAUAAAUCAAGGAAUGCUGACAGCCACUAAAGCUGGAGAAGGCCAAGGACAGAUAUUCAAUCCUCCCGUAGAAGUACAGCCCUGCUAAUGCAUUGAUUUUGGACUUCUGGCCUCAGAACUGUAAGAGAAUAAAUUUCUAUUGUUUUAAGCCUUCAGUUUGUGGUAGUUUGUUACAGAAACCCUGUAAAGUUAAUACACAGAGUUCAAAGAGAAUCCGGUAAUAUCUCUAAAAGACUCGUGUAUUAGUCAGGAUUCUCCAGAGAAGCAAAGCCAAUAGAAUGAUACAUGUUGUUAAAGCAAAUUAAAAUGGAGACCAUGCCUGAAGAAUCUCUGUGCAGAGAAACCCAGUUAGGCCUCAUAAGUUAACCUUACUUGAUUUGCAAACAUAAUCUAAAAGUUAACUGGAGCUAUUUCCGGUAAAUGAAUAUAACACAACUUAAGCUCAAUCAGUCAGAAGCAGCUUUAUAAUUAUGUAGCUAGGGACUUUCCAAGAGGAUGACCAAAG